rnacentral:misc_RNA from 1 species
AAGUCGUAACAAGGUUUCCGUAGGUGAACCUGCGGAAGGAUCAUUGCCACACACGAUCCAAGAUCGACACUUAUUGUGAACUGUUAAACGUUUGGAUUGGUAUAAUGUAUUGUUUGAAUGGAUAUUUCUGUUCAUUUCAACAUACAUUGUAUCAAUUUUAAAUUAUUACACCAUUAUACCAAACAUGAAUUAUACAUUGGAACAUAAAUGUUAUACCAAGUUCGUCUUGAUAUAACGCUAGAUUAUUAAUUGUAAAAACAACUUUUAACAACGGAUAUCUAGGUUCUU